rnacentral:rRNA from 1 species
GAUGAACGCUGGCGGCGUGCCUAAUACAUGCAAGUCGAACGCAUUGUGGUUGAAAUGAUAUGAAGAACUUGUUCAGAUUUGAUUUUCAACAUUGCAAUGAGUGGCGAACGGGUGAGUAACACGUGGGAAACCUACCUCUUAGCAGGGGAUAACAUUUGGAAACAAAUGCUAAUACCGUAUAAUAAUUAAAACCGCAUGGUUUUAGUUUAAAAGAUGGUCUUGCUAUCACUAAGAGAUGGUCCCGCGGUGUAUUAGUUAGUUGGUGAGGUAAUGGCUCACCAAGACAAUGAUACAUAGCCGAGUUGAGAGACUGACCGGCCACAAUGGGACUGAGACACGGCCCAUACUCCUACGGGAGGCAGCAGUAGGGAAUCUUCCACAAUGGACGAAAGUCUGAUGGAGCAACGCCGCGUGUGUGAUGAAGGUUUCGGCUCGUAAAACACUAGUUGUAAGAGAAGAAUGACAUUGAGAGUAACUGUU